AAAAAUUUGCUACCAAAAAUUUUUUUUUUUUUAACUGAAAUUAAUUUGAAUAAUUUAUUGAUGGAAGCUCUUUUAGGCCAAAAGAUCAUAUUGUGGAUAAAAUAAAAAAAUAAAAAUUUCAAGUCCAUGGGAUUACAAAGAUACAGCGAAUAAAAAAUAAAAAGAAUGUAAACAUUUUUGCGAAGUUUGAUCAGCCUAUUUCUCGAGGUAUUUCAGAUAAAAAGCCAAAGCACUACUGUGUUGAAAGUAUUAAAAUAAAACUAACUGCUCUUGAUAUAGCAAUAAACAUACUGAGGACAGAAGUAUUCUAAAAAUAGAAUUUAGCUGGAGUUUAUUAAAAAGAAGAGGUAUAUUAAAUAACAACAUAAAAAAUUCAACGGAAAUGCAGAAGCUUCAUUAUCUCCCAGGGGGUUGCAUUCGACGUCCAUAUAAAAAAAAUAAAAGAGGAAAGAAAAUAAAUCAAAAUUAAUGAGAAAACCAGUGGCCGGAUAAGAGAAGACUCUACACAAAGGUUUAAAGUUUAAAAAUAGCAUUCACAAUAAGAGUUGAAGUAUAAAGACACACUUUAUAUCUUACAAUACACUGCCAGAGAAGGCCAGCAAAAGUAAUAUACGGCAAAGAAGUACAAGGUGUCACAUUGCCCGGUAGUGGGGAUAGAGCCGCAGGGUGGGGGAACUAAUUCAAGAAACAUCGGUAGCUGUUUGCUCAGCUGGUCAUUCUCAAACCGCACGAAGUACAAGCAACAUCGGAAAAGCAUCGUAACUAAACGCUGUCAAAGGAAAAUUGCUGUGUGCACUUGUCGCUACAUUUCUGAUUAAUGUUUGCGUGUUAUUUUGCUAAUGCGCAGUUUCUCUUGCAUAAAUAUUCAAUUUAAUGAUGCAGCGAAGUAAA